rnacentral:lncRNA from 1 species
GACAAUAUGUUAAACUCAGUCCUUCUAUGAUCAGACGCACUACCAGAAGGUCCAACUCGAUCCGGCCAAGCAGCUAGAAUAUUCAAACCAGGUGCAAUAACAUCUGGUUUCAAAAUCUCAGGCGAUUCAGGGUUAGGCCCUCUCGCUGAGAAUGACGCCACCACAGGAGCUGGCCUAACCCCAAGCCUAGUACCUUUAAAAACAAUAGUCGCGGUUGGCAAUGACCGCGACUUUGCUCCAUCGGCGAUAUAACUCCUAAUUACAUCACCGCCUAUAGCCCCAACCGCCGUCGCAGGCAACACGUGGCUAUCGGCUACUAACCCUUCAC